GACGAACGCUGGCGGCGUGCUUAACACAUGCAAGUCGAGCGGUAAGGCCCUUUCGGGGGUACACGAGCGGCGAACGGGUGAGUAACACGUGGGUGACCUGCCCUCAGCUCUGGGAUAAGCCUGGGAAACCGGGUCUAAUACCGGAUAUGACUCCAUGACGCAUGUUGUGGGGUGGAAAGCCUUGUGCGGCUGAGGAUGGGCCCGCGGCCUAUCAGCUUGUUGGUGGGGNGAUGGCCUACCAAGGCGACGACGGGUAGCCGGCCUGAGAGGGCGACCGGCCACACUGGGACUGAGACACGGCCCAGACUCCUACGGGAGGCAGCAGUGGGGAAUCUUGCGCAAUGGGCGAAAGCCUGACGCAGCGACGCCGCGUGAGGGAUG
rnacentral:rRNA from 1 species